GUAUAACCUCCCCGUUCGCAGAAAAAAAGCGCUAACCUCCCUGUAGCCACCUCCACACAAAUGUACCGUAGAAAAAGGAAACACACUACUAUUUCGUUUUUCUAUACACAUCGUCUCUCCCUCCCCAAUUCCUCCAUGGCCACUGGGUUGUCGCCGCCACAUCUGAUUCCGGAUAGCUCCGGUGACCGCUGCUCGCCGGCCCAGCGCGCUCUCGGUGCUCACCUCCCAUCUUCCACCGUGUCCAUGUCCUUCAUGCCCCUGGACGAGCCCCCGCAGCAACCCUAGGCACCACGGGUCGCCGUAGCGGAUCCAGCGCCUCCUCUGUUUUUAGUCUCACUACCCCAUGUAUCCUCACGCGCUGUUACCAGCUCGGGCACGAAGGUGCUGCUCCACCUCGGCUACCUCUACUCUGAUCCGACACCGACGAUUCAUUAUUAUGAGGAUAAAGGAGCCGGAAACGACAUCAGUGAUAUUUGCUUCAGGAAAGAUGGCAUGCACAGAAGGAAAGAGUGAAGAACACUCUCAAGCUUACUGUCAGGAAGGUAAAACCGAAUGGUCAUAUUAUUGUUUUUGUUAAAUAUGCUUAGGAACA
rnacentral:rRNA from 1 species